UCGGGCGGUAACACAGAGGAGCUUGCUCCUUGGGUGACGAGCGGCGGACGGGUGAGUAAAGUCUGGGGAUCUGCCUGAUGGAGGGGGAUAACUACUGGAAACGGUAGCUAAUACCGCAUGACGUCUUCGGACCAAAGUGGGGGACCUUCGGGCCUCACGCCAUGAGAUGAACCCAGAUGGGAUUAGCUGGUAGGUGAGGUAACGGCUCACCUAGGCGACGAUCCCUAGCUGGUCUGAGAGGAUGACCAGCCACACUGGAACUGAGACACGGUCCAGACUCCUACGGGAGGCAGCAGUGGGGAAUAUUGCACAAUGGGGGAAACCCUGAUGCAGCCAUGCCGCGUGUGUGAAGAAGGCCUUCGGGUUGUAAAGCACUUUCAGCGGGGAGGAAGGCAAUAAACUUAAUAAGUUUGUUGAUUGACGUUACCCGCAGAAGAAGCACCGGCUAACUCCGUGCCAGCAGCCGCGGUAAUACGGAGGGUGCAAGCGUUAAUCGGAAUGACUGGGCGUAAAGCGCACGCAGGCGGUCUGUUAAGUUGGAUGUGAAAUCCCCGGGCUCAACCCGGGAACAGCAUUCAAAACUGACAGGCUAGAGUCUCGUAGAGGGGGGUAGAAUUCCAGGUGUAGCGGUGAAAUGCGUAGAGAUCUGGAGGAAUACCGGUGGCGAAGGCGGCCCCCUGGACGAAGACUGACGCUCAGGUGCGAAAGCGUGGGGAGCAAACAGGAUUAGAUACCCUGGUAGUCCACGCCGUAAACGAUGUCGACUUGGAGGCUGUGGUCUUGAACCGUGGCUUCCGGAGCUAACGCGUUAAGUCGACCGCCUGGGGGAGUACGGCCGCAAGGUUAAAACUCAAAUGAAUUGACGGGGGCCCGCACAAGCGGUGGAGCAUGUGGUUUAAUUCGAUGCAACGCGAAGAACCUUACCUACUCUUGACAUCCAGAGAAGACUGUAGAGAUACGGGUUGUGCCUUCGGGAGCUCUGAGACAGGUGCUGCAUGGCUGUCGUCAGCUCGUGUUGUGAAAUGGUUGGGUUAAGUCCCGCAACGAGCGCAACCCUUAUCCUUUGUUGCCAGCGAUACGGUCGGGAACUCAAAGGAGACUGCCGGUGAUAAACCGGAGGAAGGUGGGGAUGACGUCAAGUCAUCAUGGCCCUUACGAGUAGGGCUACACACGUGCUACAAUGGCGCAUACAAAGAGAAGCGAGCCUGCGAGGGUGAGCGGACCUCAUAAAGUGCGUCGUAGUCCGGAUUGGAGUCUGCAACUCGACUCCAUGAAGUCGGAAUCGCUAGUAAUCGUAGAUCAGAAUGCUACGGUGAAUACGUUCCCGGGCCUUGUACACACCGCCCGUCACACCAUGGGAGUGGGUUGCAAAAGAAGUAGGUAGC
rnacentral:rRNA from 1 species